rnacentral:lncRNA from 1 species
AUAACUUUGCAGUAUCUUUCCCUCUCUUUUUUUUUUCUCAUUAAACUUUUGUUUUAAUGGGUCUCAAAAUUCCAUGACAGAUUUUUGGUCAAGUUGUUUCCAUUAAAAAGGAUUGAUUUUAAAAACUAAUAACUUAAAACUGCCACACACAAAAAAAACCAAAUGGUCCACAAAACAUUCUCCUUUCCUUCUGAAGGUUUUACGAUGCAUUGUUAUCAUUAACCAGUCUUUUACUAUUAAACUUAAAUGGCCAAUUGACACAAACAGUUCUGAGACCGUUCUUCCACCACUGAUUAAGACUGGGGUGGCAGAGAUCGGGAGGCCACCAUAUUGUUCUCCUCCUCCAAAGCAAUACAGAAAAGCUAUCAGGGAACAAAAGCUACUGAGAGUGAACCUGAGCAGAUUACUUAGCCUGGCCCCUAGCAAGGGUGGUGUAAUUCUGCCUCAGGUAAAGACAUUUGAGAAUCACUGCAACAUACCGCACCCCUAGAAGGUCAACAGCAACAUUCAGCCAAGAGCAAGUUCACUGAUCAAUGAGAACUGCAAAACUUCAGAGCUACAGGAAUACAGCAUAUAGAGUUCAUGGCUUCCCCCCCAUGAUUCUUUAGUCUUUUA